rnacentral:rRNA from 1 species
UAGGUCGACCCGCUGAAUUUAAGCAUAUCACUAAGCGGAGGAAAAGAAACUAACCAGGAUUCCCCUAGUAACGGCGAGUGAAGAGGGAAAAGCCCAGCACCGAAGCCUGUGGCAGCUUUGCUACUAGGCAAUGUGGUGUUUAGGUCGGCUCGCGGGAUCGCCACUCCACUCGAAGUCCAGCCUUGAUUAUGGUUGCCAGGAAUUGGCCCAUAGCGGGUGAUAGGCCCGUACGGGUGGAGGUGUCAGAUGUGUAAGGCGAUUCACCAGGCCGGCCUUAGAGUCGGGUUGUUUGCGAAUGCAGCCCAAAGUGGGUGGUAAACUCCAUCCAAGGCUAAAUACUARCACRAGUCCGAUAGCGAACAAGUACCGUGAGGGAAAGUUGAAAAGUACUUUGAAGAGAGAGUAAACAGUACGUGAAACCGCAUAGAGGUAAACGGGUGGCGUCAAGCUGCAAGCCCGGAGAAUUCAGUCGGUCAGGGUGUUGUUUCUGCGCCCAGCGCAGCUAUCAGUCGGUGUAAUCCGACUAGUCCGCCGGCAGAUGGCGGGCCCAGCUGUCACAGGCUGGGAUUUGCGUACCGAGUGUUAGUCGGAGCAAGCUAGUCGUCCGUGGGACUGCCUGGCCGAUGCACUUUCUCUGUGGUGAACACCACGACCGGUGGRACUGCCAGUCUACCUUAGCCAGCUUCGUGGCUCGCUCAGGCUCUCGUGGUCAGAGCGGGUGGCGAUCACAGGCAAUUUCAGUGCACGGUGCUUGCGGGUUUCCGCUCGUAGGCAUGCUAUCGGGUACUGGUUGUCAACGGGUCGGCCCGGACACUGUCCUGUAGUCGCAGUGUGCAUUCUGGGUGGCUCGGUGGGCUAUGGCGGCAGGAGAAGCUGUGCAGGGCACCGGAGAUGUCGGUCUGUUUAUGACGGUCGCGCACGCACUACAGCUUGGCGUGUGCCGUGCAAGGCACUGAUAGCGUUGCCAGGGCCUGCCAACUGCUGGGUCUGAUCUUCGUGUCGCCUGUCAAAAUGACGGGUCCGAGGGUGGCCUGGUAUUGGAUGGUGCCUGUGGGCGGCGUGGUCUUAGUGCGACCGUGUUGAGAGGCCAGAUAGUCAGUGGUGUAGUGGUAGACGAGCUACCCGACCCGUCUUGAAACACGGACCAAGAAGUUCAACAUGCGCGCGAGUCAUGGGGUCCUACGAAACCCAAAGGCGCAAUGAAAGUGAAGCCCCCUGUUCUGUGCUUCCUCACGGUGGCCAGGGCAUUGGGUGUGGUGAGAUCCCGCUGUUUCUCGCAUGCACUUGUUUGUGACGAGGACCGGCAGCUGGGGCUAGCUAUGUUGUCUCGUGCAACACAUCUAGACGAGCAGCGGGCGCAUCACCGGCCCGUCCCAUGAUGUGGCUACUGGUUUGCARCACUGGUGGUUGGGCAACUGACUACCUGUCUGUCCGGUACGUCAUCGGGGCGGAGCAUGAGCGCGCAUGUUGAGACCCGAAAGAUGGUGAACUAUGCUUGCGUAGGUUGAAGCCAGAGGAAACUCUGGUGGAGGACCGCAGCGAUUCUGACGUGCAAAUCGAUCGUCAAACGUGAGCAUAGGGGCGAAAGACUAAUCGAACCAUCUAGUAGCUGGUUCCCUCCGAAGUUUCCC